rnacentral:lncRNA from 14 species
AUGGUUUUGGUACCGUUUCAAGCCCUGGGCUUUUGGGGAACACUUCUGUUUUUGAUCUUCCUUGAGCCAAGUUGGGAACAGGAACAAACCAGAUAUAUCAUUUCAACCCCAAUUGUCUUCCGAGUUGGAGCUCCUGAAAAUGUUACAGUCCAAGCCUAUGGCUACACCGAGGCAUUUGACACAACCAUCUCUGUGAAAAGCUAUCCUAAUAAAAAUGUUAAUUACUCUUCGGGCACUGUUGAAUUAUCACCAGAAAAUAAAUUCCAAAACUCUGCUAUCUUAACAAUUCAGGCCCAAGAGUUGUCUGAAGAACAAAACUGGUUCUCAAAUGUGUAUUCGGAAGUCGUGUCAAAGCAUUUUUCAAAAUUAGAAAUAAUGCCAAUCGUCUAUGACAACAGCUCUCUCUUUGUUCACACUGACAAGCCUGUGUACACUCCAGAACAGCCUGUGAAGGUUGCCGUCUACUCAGUGGAUGAUGACCUAGAGCCUGUCACCAGAACAACAGUCUUGACUUUCAUAGACCCCGAAGGAUCCGAAGUUGGCAUAAUAGGGGGAAGAAAUGGCACGGGAAUUGCCUCUUUUCCUGACUUCAAGAUCCCUUCUAAUCCUAAACUUGGUAGGUGGACUAUUAAGGCUAACUAUAGAGAAGACGCUUCAACAACUGGAACUACACACUUUGAAGUUCAAGGACAUGGUAAUCCUUGGCCAUUCCAACUUAUUUCUAGAGAGUUAGCCCCCCCCCACACACACACACAUAAAGCACAUGUCACGUGUCACCAGACAAGCGAUUGUUUGGUGCAGAAAAUAAAUGAACAAGCUUCUAAAUACAAGCAUCCAGUGAUAAAGAAAUGCUGUUACGAUGGGGCCAGAUACAAUGAGCAUGAGACCUGUGUGCAGCGAGCUGCCCAUGUGACUAUAGGCCCAAACUGUGUCAAAGCCUUCAGUCUCUGCUGUGAAAUAGCACACCAGAUGACCUUUAAGCAUAUCCACAUGUCAAGU